CCUACGGGAGGCAGCAGUGAGGAAUAUUGGUCAAUGGGCGCGAGCCUGAACCAGCCAAGUCGCGUGAGGGAUGAAGGUUCUAUGGGUCGUACACCUCUUUUAUAAGGGAAUAAAGUGUGCGACGUGUGGUAUUUUGUAUGUACCUUAUGAAUAAGGAUCGGCGAACUCCGUGCCAGCAGCCGCGGUAAUACGGAGGAUCCGAGCGUUAUCCGGAUUUAUUGGGUUUAAAGGGUGCGUAGGCGGCCUGUUAAGUCAGUGGUGAAAGUGUGGGGCACAAGCAUACAAUUGCCGUUGAAACUGGGAGUCUUGAGUAUGUUAGAGGUAGGCGGAAUGCGUGGUGUAGCGGUGAAAUGCUUAGAUAUCACGCAGAACCCCGAUUGCGAAGGCAGCCUGCCAGGCCAUGACUGACGCUGAGGCACGAAAGCGUGGGGAUCAAACAGGAUUAGAUACCCGUGUAGUC
rnacentral:rRNA from 1 species